AUGCUGAAGUGCUGUGUGAAAGUGGCCGGGGCUGCGGGAGUUGGAGUCGGUCCUCGGGCCUGAGCCUCGAGGCCGCGCUCCUGGGUGUCGUUGAUGUUCGGGGCCGCCGGACGCCCAGCGAUCGGAGCCGCCGCUGCCGCCGCCGGGAAGAGCUGGCAUUUCAGUCGAACAAUGGAAGAGCUUGUUCACGAUCUUGUCUCUGCACUGGAAGAGAGCUCUGAGCAAGCUCGAGGUGGCUUUGCUGAGACGGGAGAUCACUCUCGCAAUCUGUCUUGCCCUCUGAAACGCCAGGCCAGAAAGAGGAGAGGGCGGAAGCGGAGGUCCUAUAAUGUCCACCACCCUUGGGAGACUGGCCACUGCUUAAGCGAAGGCUCUGAUUCUAGUUUAGAAGAAGCAACUAAGGAUUACAGAGAGAACCACAGCAAUAACAAGAAGGAUCAUAGUGACUCUGAUGACCAAAUGUUAGUGGCGAAACGUAGGCCAUCUUCAACCUUAAAUAAUGGUGUUCGAGGGAAGAGACUCCUGUGGCAUGAGUCUGAUUUUGCUGUGGACAACCUUGGGAACAGAACUCUCCGCCGGAGGAGGAAGGUCAAGCGCAUGGCAGUGGAUCUCCCACAGGACGUCUCCAGUAAAAGGACAAUGACCCAGCUGCCUGAAGGCUGCAGAGAUCAGGAAAUGGACAGCGAUAGAGCUUACCAGUAUCCAGAGUUUACCCGGAAUAAAGUUAAGAAAAGGAAGUUGAAAGUGGUUAGACAAGGACCAAAGGCCCAAGAGGAAGGCGUGGUUUUGGAGAGUGAAGAAAUGAGCCAGACCAGUAAAGACAGAAUGGAGUAUGAGGAACAGAAAGUCUCCGAUGAGCUCAUGAGCGAAAGUGACUCCAGCAGUCUCAGCAGCACUGAUGCAGGCUUGUUCACCAAUGACGAGGGAAGACAAGGUGAUGAUGAACAGAGUGACUGGUUCUAUGAAAAGGAGUCAGGUGGAGCCUGCGGCAUUGCUGGAGUUGUGCCCUGGUGGGAAGAGGAGGAUCCUGCAGAGCUAGACAGAAACUUACCUGACCCUGUGUUUGAAAGGAUCCUAAGUGGGUCUUUCCCCCUCAUGUCACAUCCUGGCAGAAGAGGUUUCCAAGCUAGACUCAGUUGCCUUCAUGGAAUGCCUUCCAAGAAUAUGAAAAAAUCUGGAGGGGCUCCACCUUCAAUGACGUCUGCUCCAGGCCCCGUCAGUAACAAGAGGAUGGUUCACUUUUCCCCGGAUGCCCAUCACCAUGACCACUGGUUUAGCCCUGGGGCCAGGACAGAACAUGGCCAGCAUCAGCUUCUGAGAGAUAACCGAGCGGAAAGGGGACACAAGAAAAACUGCUCCAUGAAAACAGCCAGCAGGCAAACAAGCAUGCAUUUAGGAUCCUUGUGUACAGGAGACAUCAAAAGGAGAAGAAAAGCUGCCCCUUUGCCGGGACCUACUACAGCAGGAGUUGUGGGUGAAAACGCCCAGCCGAUCCUAGAGAGCAACAUCGGGAACCGCAUGCUUCAGAGUAUGGGCUGGACACCUGGCUCAGGCCUCGGGAGAGAUGGCAGAGGGAUCUCUGAGCCCGUUCAAGCUGUGCAGAGGCCUAAAGGGUUAGGACUUGGAUUUCCUCUACCAAAAAGCACUCCCACUGGCUCUGCCCCCAUGUCUGGAAAGCCCACCUGAGCAGAAGAGAAAGGAAGAGAACUUUUGGUUUCUGUUCUGGGCCCAUUGUUCUGAAGUGAUCGCAGAGCUUCCUGGUGUGAAGCUGACCUCAGCGUUGCCUCCAGCUAGCUUCCAGGCUGCAUAGUGUCCUGCCUCAGUGGUAGAAAUGGGAUUCCAUCACAGUUCACGGUGCUGAAGUACAAACCUCAACCCUUUAUGUUUCCUCAUGAUUUCCAGCAGUUUCUAGAUGUGAAGAACAGUUGGUCUCUUAUUUAUUUGAUCCCAGAUGUCAGUUCUUGCUGCUGCCUUGCUCACUCCUCGCAUGUGUAUGAUACCCAGACAAACUAGGCCGAAAGGAUCAAGUUUCUCAUGAUGCCUACAUUAGUAGUUCUGUCUGCCUCCAUCCCCACCACCCCAUCCAGGGAGUCCUAAGCACAUCUGGGAAAGGCUUGUUCAACAGGCACUAAACUCUCAUCUAUGUAACAGGCUACGGUGAUAGAAAGUCAGCCAACAAGUGGACCAUGAAGGCCCCUGCUGCUGAGUCCAUCCAGAGAAAGGACUCAUUACUUUACACGACCGACACCUUAAGGAGCCUUGGAUUUGUGUCUGGCGAGUUGCUGCCAUUACCUGCCAGGAUUAUGAUCUAUUGUUGCCACCUCCAUGUGUCUUCUCUGUACAUCAGCCUGUCACCUGGCUUUGAAUCAUCACAUAGUUUAAAUCCUCUGACUCUCAGCCCUCACUGCUGCAUCACCAGAAGCCCAGCUGUGUACUCCUUCCAUUCUGAGGACAGGUUAGACACCAUCAGAAGGGUGUCUGUGUUUUGUCAUUGCUGGCGCCCCCACCUUGGUGUGACCUUUCCUAGUAAAUCACACACAUUAGCAGUCUGUAUCAUCCUUGACUUCUCAGCCCAAGUGUGAUUAAAACACGUGCCCAAGUAGAAACAGCCCCGUUAUCUUGAGUCUGUUUGCACGUCACUACUAAGCUCCUAAUGACUGGGUGUAGCAUGUGGCCAUAGUCCUAGCAGUCAGGAGAAUCAGGAGUUCAAGGCCAGUAUCAGCUACAGAGUGAGUUUUGAAGCCAACCUGGGCUACAGGAAAUUCUGUCUCAAAAACAAAAAUCUAAGAAACAAUUUCUUUCUCAUGCAUCAUUCUUUAGUAAAGACAGAAUUAAAAAUAAAACUAUCUGAAGAUACACUCCUCAGAAUUAAAAAGAGUUCGUCAAACUCUAAUAUAAGUGAACUUGUUCAUAUGCCAGAACUGCACAGUUGAGAUGGACAGAUGACCUAGAAGAAGGGAAAGAGAACAGAGCAGGUUCUACUGAGUAGCAAGUUGGGAUGCCAACUUUCUCUAUUGGUAGCUGUAGUUGUUUACAGAACCAGUGUAGGUGAUCUGUGGUCCAUGGAGAGGAAUGCCUUCCUAAAGAGCGUUUGGGUGUGUGAAGCACUUGGGAGCACAUGUUAAAGUUGCAAAGUCUGACAUGCAAAGCCACAGCAUUCCUAACAGGACACUUUUGAAGUGUCUGGGCAGUCUAGUUAUCGGUGUGUAGCCCAUGAGUCUUGACUCACAUCUUCCUAUGUCUGUGUUUCCAUCCAGUUAUAUCUAAUGCCUUUGAAAGCCCAUCCUGGUCUGUUCCACCUGAUAUGAUAUCGCAGGACAAUCCCCAGACUGAGAGAUGAAUUGCCAAGCAUACUGGAAGCCGGUGUGUUCUGACUCUCAGGCCAUUGUGUUUCUCCACGAGGCCCCUUAACAACUCAGCUAGAAACAAGCGGCAGAUUUUCCCUCCCCGACUCAGCGAGUAAUUGUCCGCGCCACAGUGACAGAUGUGCAAUACAGCAGCUUCUUCAAGAAAAAAUUAACAGUUUGUCCAGCGUGUCAGCUCGCUCUUUUUAGUGCUUGGGAGGUCUUGGCCCCAUUACGGAUGAUUUAGAAAUUGAGGCACGCGAAGACCAGCAGCCUGUUCUGAAAGCCUACUUUAGUUGGCCUCAUCUGCAUUCCUGGACUGACUUGCAUCCAGAUAUUGGUGGAGCCCCUCUGGCCACAAGAUGAGGAUGGGCUGACAAUGCCUUGAUUUGUUGAGAGAGAAUAAAUGGAUUUUCCAGAAGAUGAGGAAAUAUCACCAUUACUGGCCAAUUUACAGCAUUUUAUCUGUUCUUCAAACAUGUCACUUUUGUUAUUGUUGCAUGGUAAUUACAUAGUGAAACGGAAAGAAAACAAAUUCUGGUUACGUAUUCAGAUGGGUUGCAAAAUCAUAUAAUCCUGAUAAAUGCCCAUUUAUGAUACACAUGGAUGAAAGGUUCAUUUUAAUUUUGAAUGGCUAGCUCAGCCAUGAAGAGGAUCUAGGAUUAAAUCCCAGAGACUUCUGACUAUAUCAGACAAAAAGUCUUUCUCAUCAUUUGUUCCUCCAUUCAGGGAGGUGCCAUAAGGCAUUUUCACAGACAGGACCGUCCUGACAGCACAGACAUGCACUGAGAAUUACAUUAUCAGAAGAAGGAGAAUUCUUGGAGCACCAACUUGUAUGAAGGACCAUCUUGAGAAAUAACCCCUUGUUUUUAUCACCUCCCCAGCCACAUUACAUGCUUAGAGACUAGAAAGUGCCUGCUGCCCUGUGUGUUCCUCCUCCAAGGGUGGCUUCUAGCCCUUCCCAGGCCAGUUAGCAAUUGAGAGACUGAGGGUGCUAAUAAGGAAAAUGAAGCCGCUGGGGAACAAAGCUGAGCAGCAUCCCAGGGCCACUUCUACAGCAUCAGCUAUGCAAAUGAGCUCUUGCUUAGGGCAGGCAGAGCCAAAGGAGCCUUCCUACCCACUUGUCAGUUGAACUUACAUAGCUAUCUCCCGGCUCCCAGCAAGGGUGCCACAAAGAAAGGAAGGAGAUUUACCAGCACUUAACCUUCCUUAGCCAAGGAGGGGCACGUGCCACCUCUGUUCCCACUCCAUUGGCCAUUUGGGAAUACUGAAUCAUGGAGAAGCUCCCCACAGUAAGAAAUUUGUAUUGGAUAUAUUGUAUUGGAUGUGUAUUGGAUGGGUGUGAACUUUCUCUACCAUGUGUCCUUAGUGGGGGACACGUCCAGACUUGAAUAUCAAAGUAGUCUGCUCUGCAUUCCCUUGAAUCUCCCUCCGACACUGCCAGUGUUGAGCUGUCCCUUAAUCUUACAGAGAGGCAGGAAGAACCAGGGAAGUUUCUCUCCUUUACCCAUUGCAGCGUGCUUCCCAGCUAUAAAAUGAAGAAAAUGUAAGUUUUGAACCAUGAAACUAUUUUUAAGAAGAGGAAUGUCAGAGAAGACUGCAUGGUGAGAUGGGACUGGAGCUGCUCGUUAGAAUGGCAGGCAGGUCUACCUGGCACCGUUACUAU